AUGGUCUAUCCUAGAGAAUGUUCCUGUGCAUUGGUGAGAAGACUGUGUAUUCUGAAUCUGUGGGAAGAAAAAUUCAGUAGAUAUCCAUUAGGUUAUUUUUAGUCUAUAUGUCAUUUAACUGUUGUUUCCUUGCUGAUUUUCUGUCUGAUUGUUCUGCACAUUGCUGAAAAUGGAGUAUUGAAGUCCUCCAUUAUGAUUAUAUGGGCGUCUCUGUCUCCUUUUGGAUCCAUUAACAUUUCUUUUAAAUAGCAAGGUACCCUGUAAUUAGGUAAAUAUACAUUUUUUGAAAGGCAGAGUUACAGAGAGGCAGAUGCAGAGAGAAAGAGAGAGAGAGACAGACGUAUUUUAUCCACUUGUCUACUCCCCAGAUGGCCACAAUGGUUGGAGCUGAGCCAAUCUGAAGCCAGGAGCCAGGAGAUUUCUCCCAGUCUCCCAUGUGAUUGCAGGGGUGCAAGGACUUGGCCCAUUAUCCACUGCUUCCCAGGCCAUAGCAGAGAGAUGGAUCAGAAAUGGAGCAGCCAGGACUCGAGGUGGCCCCCAUAUGGGAUGUUGGCACCACAGGCAGCAGCCAUAACUGCUCCUCCACAACACUGGAUUAUAUGUACUCAUAUCUUCCCUGUUGGAAUGACCCCUUAAUCAUUGCUCAGUGGAGUAAGAAUUAUAAGUGUUUCUUUAAAAAAAAUUUAUUUAUUUGAAAGCCAGAGUUACACAGAGACUUGAGAGGCAGAGAGGCAGACAGAGAGAGAGAGAGAGAGAGAGAGAGAGAGGUGUCGCAUCUGCUGGUUCGCCCCCCGGUUGACCCCAAUGGCCAGAGCUAUGCCGAUUCAAAAUCAGGAACCAGGAGCUUCUUCUGGGUCUCCCACAUGGGUGCAGGGCCCCUAGCACUUGGGCCAUCUUCUACUGCCUUCCCAGGCCGUAGUAGAGAGCCGGAUUGGAAGUGGAGAAGCUUGGACUCAAACCAGCGCCCUUAUGGGAUUUCGGCUUUCCAGGCAGUUGCUUUACACACGAUACCACAGUGCUGGCCCCUGUCAGUGUCUCUGAGACAUUUCUUUGAAGAACAAUUUCAAGUGUAAGAUUUCUGUAAGUAAUACCUGGCAUUGAAAUAGAUGUAAUCAUGUUUGCACACAGUGAAUGUUUAAAGAUUCAAAAACAGCACAGCAAUGUUCUCUAUAGCAGCAUUCAAAUAGAGUUCAUUGCAGUUUAAAUAAAACCCAGAGAGGUGCAGGUGUCUGGGGCAGGUCUCGAGACCCUACUUGAGAAGCACACAUGGACAGACUGCCCAAGUGCCUGGGUUCCAGUCCUGGCACUGCUUUCAAUCUCACGUUCCUACUCACACGCAGUGUAAGAGGAAGCAGGUGAACACCCAAGUCCUUGGUUCCCUGACACCCAGCAUGAGAGACCCAGAUGCAGAUCCAGGCUUCAGGCUUGGUCACCCCAAGUCUGCUGUCUUCCCAGAGAGGAAAGAGCACAUGCAGUGGACUAGAGACCCAAGAUCUGUGAUAAACAAGGCUGUUCAAUGUGUGCAGAGGGAAGGUGGGCAGGGGGCAGGUGAACAAAGGUCUCCAAUAUGAGGGGAGGAGCUGAGUCCUGCCCUGAAGGGGACAGAGCCAGGCAUGGCUUUGAAGGACAGCAACAGUGGGAGUCCACACUUCGUGUUGCUGUGAAAUAAAACCCACACUGUGGAACAGAUGGGGGCACCCAGCCUGCCACCCCAUCCCUGGCCUGCUUCUUGCUUCCCUAGCCCUGCCCUCAGGGAGAAGGACAGUCUCACCUGGAUGGGGAGGAACCAGGAUCAUGAUAGGUGGGCUGUGAGCCUUGUAGUACACUGAAGAGGAAAGUCUUCCCCGCUGCCUCUCUUGGGAAUCCACAGUCUUGUGGCCCUGGAACCUGCCUUGGCAAAGGCCCCUUCCUACAGACACCAGCCCCUCCGAGCUGCUGUGCUUUACCAUCGCUCUCAACUCUGGAGCCCAGGGUCCAGGGAAGCUGAAGUUGGGACGUGGCAAAGCCUCUCGGGACUUCUCCAGGCCACAGAUCACAGGAAGGGAAGAUGACUCCCAACAGGGCCUGCUUCUUGGGACCUUGGCACUGUGUUGUGAACUUGGGGCAGAUGCAAACACACCAGCAGGACCUCGUUCCCAUUGCAUCUCUGACAAUGCUAGCCAGCUCAUGUACAUGCAGGAUGCUCACAGAGAGUGUGUGUCUGCCCUGCACGUGGCCCACAGCCUUAUCCAUUGGCAUCACCAUGAAGAAUUUGUCACUCCUGGGGAUGACUUUGAGAUUUCUCUGGAGUCACUUUUCCCUGUAACUUAACCGAGGCCUCCAAGAAUGGCCUGCUCACCCGCAUAAUCUGGAGCACAGUGCAGCUCCAAUUCUGUCCAGGGAGGAGGCCGAACAGCAAAUACACUGUGAUCUGUAUGGGGGAGCAUCGAUCUUACCUUCAAAUCUGAAACAAAUGAUCAUUAGCUAAGAAACCUCUCCCAUCCCCCAGAAACAUGGAGGAGAAGAGGAACAAGGGUGUGGAGUGCUCUGUUCACAGCUUCCCUGGGUGGAGCCCAAGAGGCCCUCUCCUCCCCAGGUAGCCCCCAGCUCUCCUUUCACCUCUGUCCUGUUUGCAUAUGCAGCUUUGGAAGACCAGGCUGGGGACAGAUGACCCAGUGUCCGGAACACUUGCAGAGAACCGCUGCUACAUGGCCACCUCUGUUCUCUGCUGAACCCAGGCCACAGUUGAAGUCCCUGCCCAGCUUCCACCUGCAGCUGCCUGAGUCCACACCUGGCCAGUCCCAUACACUGUGAUGUCAGAGUCCUUUGCCCUUGCGGUAGGGUCUUGUUCUCCAUUGGCAGUGCAGGUGGACAUUGCCUAUGGACACAGCUCUGCCUUAAUGCACAUCCACGAACCCUUCCUGUGGAGGAGCAGCUAUGCACGUUUGGGCCUCUCCUUCCCUCCCUCUACCCCAUCCCUCGUCACAAGCCUCACCAUGCUCUCCUCCCUCACCUCCACCUCCCCCAAACUCCCACACCCCAGACCCUCCCUCCUACUCCCACCACCCACACCCAAUCCCCCACCCACCAAUAACCACCAUCAACCUCCCCUCCAGCCAGCUUCUGGGAGCCAUCCCUCUCUUCUCAGGUCCAAGAGGUCAGCCUUUGUGUUAACCCAGAGCAACGAGAGGGGACCGUACUUGUCCAGGGGAGAUCCAUCUGGUAGUCAACUCCAUCCAACCACGCCAAGGGCUGUACCUGCUCCAGGCUCCGGGAGUCCGGCUGCAGGGACAUCCGGCUGGAUCCUCCAGGACCAGAUGGCACCGAGGCUCCAGCGUCCGGAAGCAGACCCAGGCCCGCCAGCCACCUGCCGCUGGCUGGAAGCCUGGCGGGCCAGCACCACCAUGCCGAAGCUGCCCCAGCCCAGGGCCGACAGCAACUGGAGCCCAACCUGUGAGCUGUCAAUGGCAUCCAGGUCCUCACGGCCUUCCAGGCUAGAAAGUGGAAGGUCACAGGGCUCCAGCAGACUCGUUGUCUGGAAAGCGCUCCCUCUCUGCUGCUGCUGCUGAGCCUUCUUCAGAGAGAGAUGGAUCCCUAUGGUGGCGAUGCUUAUCCAGAUGUGAAUCCUGCUUCUUCCUAGUUCCUGGGUGUGAAAGAUCAUCUAGUGCCGGGUGUUUUCAAGGAGCUCAGGAGGAGCAACCCCAGACGAAGCUAUUCCAAGUCAUUGAAAGGCUUUGAUUGUUAAAAUUGUCCUCACAACAACUUGCAAGAAUAUUCCAGAAUCAGGCAUGAGAAAAGUGAUAAAAGGAGAGAAAAAGAGUGAGACAGCUCUUCCAUCUGCUGAUUUCAUUUCCCAAAUGCCCACAAGAGCCAGGGCUGAACCAGGCCGAAGCCAGAACACGAUACAGUAGCAUGUUUUGAAAAUGUGAAGAUACAUCAAAUCAGAUUGUAUGAUCAUCCACUUAUGAUUAUGGUUAAUUUAAAAGAGGAAUUUUAACUAUAAGCAGAUGGUCACAUGAAUCAGACGUUUGUUAAUUUUGCAGUAUCUUGGUAAAAAGAUUAUAUAUGUGUAUUGUUCAAGGUAAGAUUUUUUUACUUUUAAUUUUUUUUGACUAGCAUAUUCAGCCUAUACAACGCCACAGUCAGCACAAAGCUGACAAAGCUAUCAUCAGUCAUACUAUCCCCGCUCAAAUAUGCACACACAUUCUUUUAAGCCAUUUAAAAAACUCCCAUUUUUAUGUUAUAUUUAGAUUAUUACACAUGUAUUUUUCCCAACCAUCAUAAACACCCCUAAUAUUAAUUGCAUAUUUUGAGACUUUGGAUGAAUUUUAGCAAAGAAAAAAUGAAAAUGUAUAAAUGCUUAUGGAAAUGUUAAUCUUUUAGCCUGGAAUGGAUUGAGAAAUUAGGAGAAAAUUUAAAGCUACACAUUUGCUGUUGUUGUCCUGCUUAUUGUAUGUAUAAGAGAUCUGAAAACAAGAGGCAGGCUCUAGAAAAACACAUUUAUAAAAUUCAUUGUCACUAAAGUGGCAAAGUCGAAGACCAGUUACCUUACAGGUCUUUCACAUUUUCCAUACUCUGUGUAGUAGAAACACUGAAGAAUUGAGAUAUGUGGGUUAAUGAGGAAACAUCUGUACACAGUGAUUUAAGGAAAAGCAUGCCCUUCAAACACCUUUUAUUUUUUGGAUGGAAUUAUUUUAUAUUAACACAAGCUGGAUUGGCCCCAGCUUUCAAGUUUUUGCUUUGUAUGGGCAAACAGUCUCUUGGUUGGAGGAUUCUGUCCUCCCAGACAGAUCCAGAUCUUUUUAGAAUCCAGCUGAGUCGGGCUUCACCCUGCUGACCUCUCAAAGGCAAAUAGCACCCAGCUCUGCUUACCUAUCUUUGACAACGUACUUUUAUUUAUUUUUAUUUUUAUUUUUUAAUUUUUGACAGGCAGAGUGGACAGUGAGAGAGAGAGAGACAGAGAGAAAGGUCUUCCUUUUGCCGUUGGUUCACCCUCCAAUGGCUGCUGUGGCUGGCGCACUACACUGAUCUGAAGCCAGGAGCCAGGUGCUUCCCCUGGUCUCCCAUGGGGUGCAGGGCCCAAGCACUUGGGCCAUCCUCCACUGCACUCCCUGACCACAGCAGAGAGCUGGCCUGGACGAGGGGCAACCGGGACAGAAUCCGGCGCCCCGACAGGACUAGGACCCGGGGUGCCGGCACCGCAAGGCGGAGGAUUAGCCUAUUGAGCUACGGCACCGGCCGACAACGUACUUUUUAACUGAGAAAGGGAAGUUAUGCCUGUGAAUACCAAAAACAACACAGUAAUACACAGCAAGGCUAUGUUGAUUAUGCCUGCCUGAUAUCGAAACAGGGCCCAUCAAGCAAUGAAUCCAUAAAUCUGCUACUUAGUGAAAGCAAAAUUCCAAUCACUGUGGUUUCAUUAAUUGGAGUUCAACACAUAUAUGUCUUUGGAUCACUUUCAAAGUCAUACAAAAAAGUCUUGUUCUGAGAGAACAAACCUAAUGCGAAUGAAUAGAGGAAUAUUUUUCAUGAGUAAUGAAAUCAGCAGUGCUUUUAUUGCUUAAUGGAGGUUGUGUAUACACUAAAGGAAUGCAGUACUGUGCUCUUUCCUAUAUGCCAGAGGAAACAUGAUUUUCCAGGACAGUUGCUAAAAAUGCAGCAUUUUCCUCCUAUUUGAAACUUUACCAUAGCCCCUCAUGGCUAUGCACAUUUCUCAGAUAGCUGCUAAAUCCACAUGCAAUUUGCAUGUGAAUGCUUGUCAUCCUUAUAUUAGAAUUCCUUUCCAAAGAUAAGUAUCUCGGUCACAGAGUACGUAUUUUUGCCACACCUCAGAAAUCUUAAGGAUGCUUUCAACUCACUGCAAAUAUAUGCAGCCCACACAUAAUGCAUUUCAAAGGCUUGAACAGAUUGUGUGCAUUGUAAGUAGGACAGAAUGCCCUUUGCUGGGACUGGGUAGGCAUAUGUGAGACUUGAGUCAUCCUGAGUCAGAUGAGUCACUUUCUCACCACAGUCACUUCAGAAUGAGAGGCCUCCCAUCUGCAGGGGAGCACGGCAGAUGAGCUUUUCUGUGGCAGCUUUACAAUUCAUCACACUGUCCACACUGCACGUGUGAGUCACUCAGUGCUCAGACUCCUAUCAUUGAUUCAUUGGUUCUCACCAAACAUGAACUCUUCUGAUAAAUCAGUGAUAAUUAGAGAGUAAAUUGGUGUUGCAUUAGACUGAAAAGCCACAAUUGCUUGAACUUCAUGCUUAUCCCUGUUUGAUUAUUAAAUAUAUGGAUAAAAUGAAAAGAGAACAAAAUCUCCCAGGCGACUUUUCUUUCUGGUCAUUUAGGCAAAGACAAUCAUGAUCACACAGUGACUCCAAGCAUUUCUCCAUCUUCAGCUUGAAGAAAUAGAAUUACUGUUUUUAAGACGAGAAAGUCUAUUUUCCAUCCCUCGCAUGAGCAGAUGAGUUUUAUAACAACCACACAAAGCUGGCUGGAACAAAGGAAAUGGGAACUCUCUUCUGUGUCUGCCAGGAAAUCCUUUGUUGAAGUCAUUCUGGAUCUCAAUUUUUAUUCUCAUCUCUUGACUUCUGAUCAUACCCACAACCUUUGCUCUGUGACUUUAUAUUUUCUUCUACAAGAGGUGCAAUGGAGCCCUCCAUUUUCUGACUUUGGGACUGGCCUUGUGACUUGGUUUAUCUAAUGGGACAAGGUGACACACAAAAUGUGAUUAGGCAGUGGGAACGCCUCUUCUUCCUUCCUCCCUCCCUCCCUCCAUCCCUCCCUCCCUCCCUUCCUUCCUUCCUUCCUUUGUUUAUUUUAAAGGGGGAGUUAUAGAGGCAGAGAGAGGGAGAGAGAGACAGAGAGGGAUCUUCCAUCUUCUGGUUCACUCUCUAAUUGGCCGCAAUGACUGGAGUUGUGCCGAUCUGAAGCCAGGAGCCAGGAGCUUCUUCCAGGUCUCUCACGAGGGUGCAAGGGCCCAAGGACUCGGGCCAUCUUCUACUACUUUCCCAGGCCAUAGCAGAGAGCUAGAUCAAAAAUGGAGCAGCCGGGACUUGAACCCACACCCAUUAGGGAUGCCGGCACUGUACGUGGCGGCUUUACCAGCUGCACCACAGCACGGGCCCUAGGAACGCCCCUUUCACCUCUAAUGUCUCCAGAAGAAGAUAGCGGAGUCCUAGCAGGGAUACAGGUGGAGAAGAGCAAAACCCAGUCCACCAUGAGAAACCAAGUCCACUGUAACCCUCAGAGUCCAGCAUAGUAUUGUAGUAAUAUAGUGUUAGUGCUGCUUUGCUGGAUGAGCCAACUUGAUGUCAACUGGAGGAGCUGUGAGAAAUAAACUCUUGUACUCCCCCCAAGAUUUCGUGAUUGUUUCUCACAAAGCAAUAACUGAUGGAAUGCUGAUGACUCCAAAAUGUAUUUCUUUACAUCUGACUUUUCUCUCCACUCAGACUGUCUAGUCAGCACUUGUAAAAUUCCCACCUUAUCACAUCCAGUGCUGAAAUCCAGAUUUUCUUCCUCAAACCUGCUCCUCGUAGUCUUUGUCUUCCAGUGAGUGGCACUGGACACAAAGGAAACAUACAUUCUUUUUUUUUUUAAAUUAUUUCCUUUCUCUCAUUCUCUACUUCCAAUCUGUCAUUAAGUCCUGUCAGCUUUAUCUUCAAGAUUUAACCCAUUUUCAUCAUUUUUGUGGCUAUUACUUGUGUCCAACUGAUGUCCUUUCUUCCACGGACUUCAACAGUCUCCUGACUGGACUCCCUGCUUCUGUUUCUACCCUGAAAACUCUGGUCUUAAUGCAGGAGUCAGGAGGCCCAGUUCAAUCAGGUCACUUCUGUACCUGAACCCCUAGAUGACAUUCCAUCUGAGUUGGAGUACAAGCCACAUCUUGACAGCGGCCCUUCACACCCUCCAUCCUUGCCUGGAAACCCCAUGGCUUGUCUUCUCUCCCAUUGGCUCUGCCCACUCUGACUCUUCCUUCUCCCCUCCAGUGACGAGGCCCAUGCUUGGCUGAGGGCUGUGGAGCCUGCACUCACCAUGGCUGGAAGGCUUUUCGCCACAUGUAGAGUCACUUUCUUUCAUACUCUAUCCAAAUACCCUCUUCUCGAAGUGGAGACCGAAGCUUUUCCCAGCUGACUCAUUUACAAAUAACUAUAGCACCUACUCCUCUCUUUCUCCCACAGGCUCUCUGUUCACCUCUCUGGCUUCCAUCUUCCCCACAGCUCUUGUGUAUUUCACUUUCCUACCUUAUCUGUUAGCCAUUUCCCCACACAGUGGAUACCCCUAAGAGCAUGGACUGGUCUCUCGCUCACAGUUGUAUCCCCAGGAGCUCAGAAUGGUUCCUGGCAACACAGCUGGCAUUCACAGAAAGAAAUAAACUCUGAUGAAGGGAUAAAUGGCAAUAAUUAAAAAAUAUUUAAAAUGUAGACCUCUUUUGAUCAAGCAAUGCCAUUUUCAAAACCCCAACAGAUGAGAGAUUAUACAGAUUUAUAUGUAUAUCCAUAGAUGUAUUUAUCACAGAUUUAUUUAUAAAAAUAAACCAAGUGAAAAUUGCUUAUAAAAUUAUAUAGUGAAAUAAUAUUAUACCCCAAAAUGCAUACAAAACAUGUAAACCAAUAUUUAAUCACAUGGGAUAGAAAUGCUCAUAUGGAAAUAAUUCAUACUGUAAAACCAUUUUUAGACUAACAGCUCAUUUUUUUAAAGUGCUAGAUAAUUGAUGAUGAAUUGAAAGAUAAAUAAGUGGACCUCAAAAUUCAAUCACUAAAUCUUUGGGUAAGCAUGAUAGAAAAAAACUGAUUUUUUGAGAAUUUUUGAAUUGUUCGUGAUGAAAGAGUUUACUUAAUCAGAAAAAAAGUCUGAAUGCAUAGCCAUUUCGAGAAGCAAAAAAGAAAAAAAAAUUGCUCUCUUCAUCCAAACCGUAGCUUUAUCCAAACCAUAGCAAGCCAGGGCAGCUGGGAUUCCUGCAUCCCGUAUUAGAGUGCCUGGAGUUGAGUCCCUGGCUUUGCUCUUAUUCCAGCUUCCUGCUAAUGUGCACCCUGGAAGGUAGCAGCUGACUGUCCAAGUACUUCUGUGCCUGCCACCCAGAUCAGGUUCUGGGCGGACCCUGGAUGUUUCAGGCAUUGGGAAAGUGAACAGCAGAUGGAGACCUCUCUUUCUCUGUCUCUGUCUUUUUAAAAAAUAAAAAUAAAUUUUAAAAAGAAAAAAAAUUUUGAGCAACAAACAUAGUCACUACUGUAAGCUCUACCUUCAUGCUGCCUAAGAUUUCAUAAGAAAGUUUGAUGGUAAGGCAGCACUAGGCUGUACAGAGCACAAUCCCUUACAUGACAAUCUCUUUCUCUCAAGUCAAUUAUGUCCCUUCCACCCACUCCUUAUAAAUAACUCCAUUAAAGACACUUAAACUGGCUGCAGAGUGGGCAUACACAGGGCCUGGAAAAGUCCACAUGAGCUUGUUCCUGAUUCAGGUCUCCAACAGCUGAGCUGAGAUACCCUGGCUCCCAUGGUGAUUUUGAACAGAACAGUGAUUCAAAUUCUUUUUACUCCAAGUUAAAAAUUGUUAGAUUUCUAUCUCAGAGUAAAUCAUUGCUUGCAAACAUAAGAAACAUUAAUAUUAGGGCUAGUGUUUUGAUACAGUGGGUUAACCUGCAGCUUAGCACACUGCCAUUCCCAUAUCAGAGCACUGGUUAGAAUCCCAGAUACUGGUUAGCUCCCAGCUAAUGCACCUGAGAGGGCAGCAGAGAUGGCCCAAGUAACUGAGUUCCUGCCAUCCAGAUGAGAGACCCAGAUGGAGUUCCAGUCUCCUUGUUCCAGCCCUGCCUGUUGCAGCCAUUUGAAGAAUGAACCAGUGGGUAGAAGAUCUCGCUUUCUCCUCCUGUCUCUUCAUCUCUCUGAUGGACUGCCUUUCAAUUAAAUAAAACUUAAAAAAAAGAAAUAUUAGCAUUUAAAUGCAAAUUAAUGGCAAAGAUGAAAUUUAUAAUUCUACUUUUCUCCUAUUUCUUUCCUCCAUAUCCACAAUUUCCAGUUGCCACACCAACUUUCUUACAUAGCUUUAUUAUUCAAAAUACAGUUUAAGACGAGGACAACAGAAAGUGUUAUAUUCAUUUGAGUUUUAAAUUUGUUGGAAAAACAUUUUAUUCUCACUCAGAAUGUGUUAUCUGUGUUUUCCAUUACCCUGAAUGUUUUUCUUGUAUCCUUUUAUUUACAAAUAAACCAGGAAAUUACAAAAAUUUUAUUUAUUAAGUGCAAAAUGCAAGAAUUACAAAUAUUGUUUCAUUAAAUCCAUUUUUUGAAUAUUUUUAUAUUCAUUUUUAAAUUCAUGUUGCAUUUUAAUAUACAGUCAUUUAUUUGAACAUAAUAAGAAAAUGCUCUUUUUUGAAAAAAAGAUUCAUUUAUUAGUUUGAAAGGUCGAGUUACAGAGAGGGAGAGAGGCAGAGGAAGAGAGAGAGAAGUCUCUCAUCCAGUGGUUCACUCCCCAAAUGACUGCAACAGUCAGGUCUGGGCCAGGCAGAAGCCAAGAGCCAGGGACUUCUUCUAGAUCUCCAAUAUAGGUGCAGGUACCCAUGCACUUCGGCCAUCUUCCGCUGCUUUCCCAGUUGCAUUAGCAGGUAGCUGGGUCAGAUGUGGAGCACCUGGGACUUGAACCAGUGCCCAUAUGGUAGGCUGGAGCUUCUGGUGGCAGCUGAACAUGCUAUGCCAUAGCACUAGUCUCAGAACAAUGAUCUAAAGAGUUUGCUCAGAAAUCAUGGUAAAUAAUAAAAUGACUAAAUAGAUGUAAGAUUUUCAUUAAAUCUAGUAAAAAUGAAUUUAAACAUCCUAUUUGAUAACGUGAAGAUUAUUUUCAAAUGUUAAAGAAAGGUUUUUAUUAUACAGAUGAUUAAAAUCAAAUAAGUUUUUAAAUCCCUAAAAAGAAGGGAAAACAUAGCUCUGAAACCUUAUUAUUUUUUAUUUUUUUUUUAUUUUUUAUUUUUUUGGACAGGCAGAGUGGACAGUGAGAGAGAGAGACAGAGAGAAAGGUCUUCCUUUUGCCGUUGGUUCACCCUCCAAUGGCCGCCGCGGCCAGCGCGAUGUGGCCGGCGCACCGCGCUGAUCCGAUGGCAGGAGCCAGGAGCCAGGUGCUUUUCCUGGUCUCCCAUGGGGUGCAGGGCCCAAGCACCUGGGCCAUCCUCCACUGCACUCCCUGGCCACAGCAGAGGGCUGGCCUGGAAGAGGGGCAACCGGGACAGAAUCCGGCGCCCCGACCGGGACUAGAACCCGGUGUGCCGGCGCCGCUAGGCGGAGGAUUAGCCUAGUGAGCCACGGCGCCGGCCUGAAACCUUAUUCUUAACAAAACAAAACAGAAACAGUGCCCUCUGGGAAGACAGAAGAAAUGAAAAUCUGGGGAAUUGGUGGAAGGCCAGGAGGCAGGGCUAAUCUGGGAGCUGAGAAUUCACACUCUGUUUCUUUAAGGCCUAGGUGCACUGAGGCCUGGUCCAGCCACACAAAGAAGGGGAGAGAAAAUGAAGGCAGUCAGUGACCUGCAAAUUACUUGGACACCUAGAGUCCCACUAUUUCACUUUAGGUAGGAAAAAAAAAUAGAAGACAAACAGAGAAAGAAAAAGCAAGACAGCAGAAAACAAGCAAACAAGCAAGCCAAGAAAAAAAAGUAUUUAUUUAUUUAUUUUUAUUAUUUGACAGAGUUAGAGAGAGAGAGAGAGAGAGAUCUUCCUUUUUACGUUGGUUCACUCCCCAAAUGGCCGCUAUGGCUGGCACUGCACUGAUCUGAAGCCAGGAGCCAGGUGCUUCCUCCUGGUCUCCCAUGCGGGUACAGGGCCCAAGCAUUUGGGCCAUCCUCCACUGCCUUAGUUUUUGCCACAGUGUCUUGACUUUCCCUGCCUGAAAUGCUCACCUGGGCUUUUCAGUCAAACCAGAAUGCCUUAAGGGUUGAUUCUGAGAACAGAGUGCUACUUAAGGCAAUUGCUGAGUAAAAGUAUAUGGACGCCCCCCCCCCCCUUUUUUUUUGACAGGCAGAGUUAGAGAGAAAGAGAGAAAGGUCUUCCUUUUUCCAUUGGUUCACCCCCUAAAUGGCUGUUACGGCCGGCGCGCUGCACCAAUCCGAAGCCAGGAGCCAGGUGCUUCCUACUGGUCUCCCAUGUGGGUGCAGGGCCCAAGCCCUUGAGCCAUCCUCCAGUGCCUUCCUGGGCCACAGCAGAGAGCGGGACUGGAAGAGGAGCAACCAGGACUAGACCCUGGAGCCCAUAUGGGAUGCUGGUGCAGCAGGUGGAGGAGUAACCAAGUGAGCCACAGGUGCUGGCCCCGUAUUUAUUUUUUAUAAAUUAUUUUCCCAAGGGUGGAGAAGGCGGAGGAAGAAAGGGACACUAGGUUUGUUUGGGUGUCAAAUGGCAUCUUGUGCAAUUUCACUUAGAGAGCCUGUGUUUUGGAUACCCACAAAGAGCGUGAUCCUGUCCUGAGGAUUUGGGCUCUCACAAACGGGCAGAAGAAAAUAAACCAGGGAUCAAAUUAGGUGUCCCUGCUCCUCCUAGGAAAUUCAAAACAGCCAUAGGAAGCCCGACAGCCGCGGGUGGCUGCGAGCCGCCCGGAAGUGGUGUUCAAAGCAGCCUCUCCUUUCUCCCUUUGUGCUCCAUCAGCAGCAAAUUGACAAGCCUGCUCUCCCAAUACCCCCACGUUCUAGGGCCUGACCUAACCUGCAUGUUCCAGAGAAGGCUGCUGGGGCUCCCACACCAAGGAAAGGACAAGGACAUCCCGGACAGGAGGUUGUGGAUCUCAUCGGAAUAAUCAGAUAAGUCACAUACGAGGUAAUCUCUGCAAGUGUUACUAGCUGAUUCAAUUUCCAGAACUUCAGAUGUUGUCCUUUAAUGUCUAUUUCGUGACUCUAUAAAAAAUGGACUGGAGAGAAAAAACAAACAUGAAAGCAGAUUCUGAGAUAUCUGUGUUGUGUGCAGUUCAUGAUGUUUAGUGAGCAACAGUCUGAAGAUGGAAAUUGAGUCAAAGAUGAAUGAUUCAACUUGGCCAUGCUUCUUUAGAGUGCUUCCAAAUAAAACAGCAGCUAUAAGGCAAACAUGUUUCUGCUUUAAUCUUAUUUUAAAAUAUCUUUCCACUUUCCUUGCAUAAUGAUGAUACACAAAUUUUAGAUGAAUUAGAUGUUUUUCCAAUCAUGUAAGCGACUGUUGGUAUUAUGAUCACUGUCAAAGCUUUUACAGUUACUCUUGAAGACUUGCUUUACCAACAUGUAAGUUUAGUGCAUUGAGUGGGAAUUGGGAACUUGCAUUUUUCUUCCUUCAGGGUGCAAAAAUUUCCAUCACUGUGAAGGGUAAUCCAUGCAGUUUGGACUCUGCUCCAUGACUGUGAUUUGCAUGUUGUAGAGAAGGAGCCAAGCUUGGGUUUCUGGGAGCUGGACUUCCACUGCUCCAGCAAAUUCACUCAGUAACACCUGUUCCCAGCUCUACGAUGAAGCUUCACGUUGCACUCCUCAAGAGUUCUAGAAACUGCAACUGAAAAACAAGAAAGGAAGAAGACAUCUUCCUAGACACUUGAAGCAGGUUAUUUUUCACAUCCUUUUAAAAACUAUAUGACUAUAUCAAAUGCUAGAUAAUAAAGAAUGACCCAUGAACAAUGCAAAACCAAAACAUUAAACUCAUGGGAAAAUGGAAUUAACUUUGGGACAAAACAUUUUUUUUGAAUUAGUAUAGACCUUUUUUUAUAACAUGUCUUUUCUAUGAACUUUGUGAAGACGUCAUGUACUUGAAGCUGUAGAGGUGUCAUGGAUACUACUGCAGUUCUAUAUUGCAGAGUUGAACAGGCUGCUUUUGUCCUUGACAUGAAACACAGGUUGUCUUCCGGUUCUACAACUGUUUUCUUUCUUUCUAUUCAUGGGUUUCCUAUUACCUGAUAUGCUAUUGUGUUACUGUUAGUAACACAUGCUUCUUUGUACCAGAGAGCCAUCCACAAAAUAAGCAGCCUGUUAUCCAGCCAUCACAAAGCCUGCUUGUAGAGCUAAGUACAUUCCUUCCCAAAACAUGGGGAUUUUAUCAGGCUAGUUAAGUGAGAAAUGAAAUAUGGGGAGAAAAAAAGAAUGAUCAUCUUGGGAUCCUUGCAUUCCUUGAAUAUCAACAGUCCUUGUCUCUCCCCGUGUCAUUCAGGAACACUUUUCCUUUGAUCAUUUUAAUUUCUGAAUAUUCUGAGCAAAAGCAUUAGAAAAGUGGAACAAAAGGGAGGGGUGGUGCAGAAGAUACAGAGUCUUUAUUCCUAGAUUUCAGUUGGAAAAAUAAUAGCCCUUUUAUGCACCUGUGUAAGAUUUUUUUUCAUUUUUUUUAAAAUAUUAUUUAAAAGGCAGAGAGACAGAUACAGACAGACAGAAAUUUUAUAUCCACCAGUUCACUCCCUAAAUGCCUGCAACAGCCAAUGCUGGGUCAGGCCAAAGCCAGGAGUCAAGAACUCCAUCCAGCUGUCCCAUGUCAGCAGCAGGGAUCCAACUACUUGAGCCAUCACCUAUUGCCUCCCAAGUGCACUUUAGAAGGAGGUUGAAACUGGAAGUGGAGCUGGAACUCAAACCCAGGCAUUCCGAUGUGGGUCUUAAAUGUUGCAUCUGUCUUAAAUGCAGUCUUAAAUGUCUUCAAAGCACUGUCCUAAAUGCUGCAUCACAUGGCAGCUCCUUACCAAAAAAAUAAUUUUUCAGAUAGUGAACUUCGAAAGUUGAAGUGUUUAUAAUAAAGUGGAAUGAUAAUUAGUACAAUGAGGAAGGCUUAAGGCUACUUUUUUUUUUUUAAGAUUCGUUUAUUUAUUUGAAAAGCAGAGUUACAGAGAGGCAGAAGAGAGAGAGAAUCUUCCAUCCACUGGUUCACUCCACAAAUGGCCACACGGUCAGGGUCAGAGCUGCACCAAUCCGAAACUAAGAGCCAGGAGAUUCCUCUGGGUCUCCCAUGCGGGUGCAGGACCCAAGUACUUGGGUCAUCUUCUACUGCUUUCCCAGGCCAUAGCAGAGAGCUGCAUCAGAAGUGGAGCAGCUGGGACUCAAACCUGUGCCCAUAUGGGAUGCCGGUGCUGCAGGUAGCUUUACCUGCUACGCCACAGUGCUGGCUCCCUGAGGCUACAUUCUGAAGUUGAACCAAUGUUGUACAAGAAAACAAAAACUAAAAUGAAAACGAUUGUCUUUUGCUGAAAAUUUAACAAGAUAGACAGCAAAAAGUCAUAUAUAUGUUUGCAUAUACCUCCCUAUAUAUAGAAAUAUGAAAUAUACUUAAACUUCCUAUAGGUUGUAUUCAUUUAUUUAUUUGUUUGUUUUGAAAGUCAGAGUUAUAGAGAAAAGAGAGAGAAAGAGAGAAAAAUCUUCUAUCCACAGGUUCAUUCCUCAAAUGGCCACUUCAACCAGGGUAGGCCAAGCCGAAGUUCAUAACCAAGAACUUUUUCCAGGUCUCCCAUGUGGGUAGCAAGGGCCCAAGCACUUGGGCCUCUCUCCACUGCAUUUUCCAGGUCAUCAGCAGGCGACUGGAUUGGAAGUGGAGCAACCAGGACACAAACUGGCAUCCAUAUAGGAUGCCAUUAUUGCAGGUGGUGGCUUUGAUUGCCUUGGCAUAAAGCCAGCCCCAGAUUGUGUUCAUUUUGCUAAACACUAGGUCAGUAUUUUAAUACAGACAUUUAGAAUGCAGAUUUCAAUAACAAGAAUAGAGUUCAGCAUAAUUACCAUGUCAAUCAAGUGUCUGCAUUUUUGAACUUCGUAUUAGUGCAUAAUACUGAGUUACCACCUCUACUCACCACCGGGGCUUUCAAAGUGUUGUCAGAGACUUCUGUGGACUCCUGAAACCAUUUCAGGGGGCCCAUGAAGACAAAACUAUUUCAUAAUAAUACAAGAUAUUAUUGUCCAUUUUAGACUCAUUUUCUGAUGAGUGUACAGUGAAAUAUCCCAGGCUAUGUGGUAUGUGAUUUUGCAACAGACUAAGUGUCAAAGCAGAUGCAAGAAUAUAGCUGUCUUUUCUAAACCAGGCACUAACAAGAUUUACAAUUAAAUAAGGCAAUUCUUCCUAUUAAUUUUUUGCUUUAGAAAACAGCUAUUUUUCAUGAAAUGUGCUAUUAACAUGUAAUGGCUGUAUUUUUGCUAUUUUAAACCAAUAAAUAAAAAUUUUGAUUGCCUCAUCUUUGACUUUUAACAUGGUAAAUACUAGCAGAUAGCACUGGGUUUUGGAUAUGAGUUUUCUCCCAAAUUCAUUUAAAAGUUUAAGCCUCAAUGUAUUAUGCUAAUUGCAUUUAAGACAGUGGAAACUUUAUCCCACCUUGAGAUUCAGAGAUGGCACCUCUAGUAAAUGAUGAGAUUGAAUUAGGACAGUAGGGUGAGGUCCCCAUAACUGAAUCCUGACUUCACCUGAAAAGCAGAUGCACACUCUGAUCUCCUGCCAUGUGAUGAUGCUCUGUGCCACCUUGGGACUUUGUCGGCAGAGCUGUCGUCAGAUGCAACCAUAGACCUUGUGCCUCUAGAAUCAUGAGUCAAAAUCCUUGUAUUUUUACAAGUAAUACCAGCCUUCAUCAGGUAUUCAUUAUAGGAAUGACGUGUUGACUAAUACAAGUAUUAGCUACAUGUGGUACAUCUCUUUGGGGUCUUAAUUUCAUAAGAGUUUUGAGAAUUUCUGCUUUAGAACAUACUGGAUAUUUGUGAUAUUCUUCCUUUGUAAACUUUAAAACUUGAAAUUAAUUUCAAAUGCAGGUACUCAUUCUUUGCUUUCCUUUUUGUCUGCUUUAUUUACCUGUAGUAAUGUGACCACAGCAUAAGGGCUCAGUAUAUACCUAUAAUUAGUUGAUGAGCUCAGCUUCAUUUGGCAAAAAAUGAAAAACUUCUGCAGUCUAUACCAAUUUCACCAUUUCAUUAAAUUGUGUCAGUUUUCCUCUAACCAUAUUUUUCCUGAUAAUUUGGCAAAUUAUUCAGAAGAUAAUACUCUAAGAUAAUUAGAAUUAUCUAGUUAAAGAUAAUUAUCUAAUUAUCUAGUUGAAGAUAACGAAUGCAUUAGGCCUAAAUGUAUUGAUAGUGACUGAGAGAGAACUUGUAUCUUUAUUUGUUUAAUGACUUCCAGUCCUUUCCCCAGGGACAUCACAAUGCAUCUGGAAUAAAGAUGCCUUGGUAAUGUUUAAUAUUGUCCCACCCAGUACAUGAGAAUCAGCACUGUUCCCACAAUAGGUUCCAGGAGUCAAAAACUCGUAUAGAUCAUUCUGAGUUAUUCUUCUGCCAUACUGGAUCUGACAUAUUCUCAUUUGAUUUAAAACCUAAGACAUGUAAAUUGACAUUCAGUAGAUGUAGCUUUUCUCAACUAAAUUCUCUUGGAAUCAGAAAUGAUAAAAAAUGAAGCUGCUCCCCCAGAUUCGGAUGUAGGUUUUUUCCAUCAUUAAAAGAUUGCUGCUAGCCAUGUAAUCAGCAAGUUAGUCUCAAGUGUCUCAGAAUUUGGAGAAACUGUCUGCUAAUUGCAAGCCACUAAGCAAAAGCAAAUGCAAAACCAAUUAACUUCUGCCUUGACACAUUUGUUGGCUAAAAGGUAGGGGUGGGGUAGGGCAGAGGUAACACUGGCCCUCACUAAUUUUGAUAGAUACAUUCUUGAGUAUUGUAAACUAGAACUCUGUUGGAUAUGCCAAUGAAAAGAGAUAGCCAACAAGUCAGCAAGUAUGUACAGGACACUGUAACUUUUGUUGUAUGGCACAAACCAGUUUCACCAGAGGCUAAUUUUGGUAUCUGAUAUAAAGCCAGUACUAUCAGACCAUUUUCCCGAUGCAUAAUUUGAGCUGACUGUGAGAGUCCAUGCAGGAAAAUGGAAAUCUACUUAUCCAAUCUAACUGGUCUUAGGAAAGUUACUUAAUGACUUUAUAAGCAGGAAGUGAUUGUAGAUGCUACUUAUUAGAGUAUACAUAGGAGAUAGUUUUUGAUGCUGACAUGGUCAUUCAAAAGAAAUUUCAUUGCAAGUUAUUGAGACAUGGAGACUAUUUUGCAAAUUAAUCUUUGACACUGAAGUUCUUAAAUUUCUUCAGAGGCGUAUUUAGAUCAAUUUAUUAGAUAGCUCUCCUAGACGGGGCCUUUGGGUUAACCUUCAUAGACUGUCCCUCAGUUCAGAACCUCCUACUGAAGACCACUGCUGUCAAAACCUGAAACAGUCCUCAGGACAUGCUGCUCCACAAAGAGUCUCCAAACACUAUUAGAGUAUAUGGGACCAGAUUCCCUGGCUCCAAGUGUUCUUGCCAAAAUAUGAAACCUGUCUACCCUCAUGACAAUGAAUUCUUUCCCAUUCAGCUUUAUAUCCAAUCCUCUUCCAAGGUUACAUCAUCAAAACCUGUUUCUGCCCAUGCUUCCUUGGAUCUUGUCAGCACAUGCUAAAUGAACACUGAGAUUCCUUUGGAAUAUAGCAUCUUCCUUGCUGAUAAAGGUCUAGUUGUGCUUCUCUGCCCAUGUUGUCCUAAGAGUUAAUUUUUGCUCUAGGUUUAGGAGAAAUGAUUGGCAGUGGUGAUGAGUCCUGUGGAAUGCAGACAUCAUCUUAGAAGACAUCUACUUCAGAAACAUUGCACUGUUUUCUGGCUGUGGGAAAUGACUUCUUCUGCUAGCCAGGAGGACCUAGGAGACUGGAGAGAGCCCCAGAUUUUCAUGCUCAUUCACUGAAAUGUUACCCUCCCAGGUCUCAGAGUUCUGCCCCUUCUUCAUCAGGGCCCUGUCUUUGACAGAAGACCUAUUGAGCCUGAGGAUUUCGUCUCCUUGUAAGUAAAUAGCCAAAUUCUAGGACCUCAUGCUUUGGCCAAGUCUGCACGUGGCUGCAGGCCAUAAAAAUCUCCUUUAUAGCUUGCCACACGGGCCCUCUGACUUUUAAACAUGAUUCUUAAGUUCUCAAUUAACUGUCCCAAACCUUUUUCCUUUCAAAAUCUUCUACACAGUUAAAAGCAGUUAUUUCAUUUUAUUAUCAGUAAUAUUAUCACUGUCUCCAUAAUAAUGAAGAACUGCAGAUUCUGUACUUCUAAAUGCUUUCUCUCCACUUGCACUUCUCCCCAGUGAACCAAUGAAAGUUGAGGUUACUGUGAUGCCAUAGCAUGCCAGAAGUUAAUGUCAUACCACUGUCACCAGCAUGGGAGCCUCUAGCUUUACAUGAGUGAACAACCCAUCUUCAAAUCUCUUCCUUAAAGUAUGCUGUGUGGUACUACCCUUGUUUUCAACAAAACAGCAGCUGGGGCAAGGAUUAACAGCUAGUGAUUUAUUUGAAGCUGAAAUCUGAAGAAAACAAAGUAGAGAAAUAUAGGAAGUAGAAAAUGUGAUACAUGGCCACACAGAUUUAUGCUCCAUGAGAUCUUAUCAGAUAACCCCCUGGCCACAUGCAGCAACCUACACAGGUGAUAAACAGUGAGACUGCUUCUUGGAGAGUUCCAUCAGCUAGAGCAAGUGAAGGAUAGUUUAUCUGAUUCUUCUGGUCUGCUCUCUCUCUCAUUGGUCAAAUUAUCCCCAGUUGGUUUUUGUUAGAGUUUAGGCUGAAUAAUCCAUCCCAUUUGAGAGCUAGAUGGAGACAAAUUCAUGCCCUGUCACAUGAUGUUUAAUCCAAGUCUAGGAGCAAUGAUAGACAUUAGAUUUAAGAUGCUAUUGAUCUCAGAUAGCAAAAUCACUUUGACCAGGAAGGAGUUAGUCACACAUGCUUAUUGAAUUGCACCUGAGAUUCCAAGGGGCAGUUCAAAAAGGUAUAUAAUAUGCACACAUGCUACUGAAAUUUAUGAGUGAAGAAUUCAGUAAAAAGAAAACUGCACAUAGAAGGAAACACUUCCAUAAUUAAUAUUUGGUACUAUUCAUAAUCUCAAGGUGUAUAAAACACUUGAUACCAGCCAUCAAAUUCUUCAGCAUGUCUGGGAAAGUUGAAAAGCAGAAGGCUGUGUAGUUAGGUUUCCUGUCCACGCUGUAGGUUAGAGGGAAAGAGUGAUAUACUUGUAAUUAAAGGCUACAGAUUAUGUUACAGAGCAAUGAAGAAGAAAGAAAAAUGCCUGGAAGUACAGCCUCUCAGUUUGAAGUCAUUCGAGAUCUGACUGUCCAGCUACUAAGUUCCUCCACCCCAGCCCAUAGUCAAAUUACUAACAGGUAGGUAAGAGAAGGGUUUUCUCAGGGCAGUUAGAAGGAGGAAACAGAGUAGAAAAAUGAAAGAAGCUGCUAGUAAAACUGUGUUCAUGGAUCAUUGCUGUACUUUUCAAGUUUUAUGUGCAUUCAAAGAAGCUAAGGAUCUUAUUAUUAAAGAACAGAUUCAGAUUCUAUAGUCUUUUGGGUACAAGUCUGAGAUUCUGUUUCCAAAACUUUUCCAGGCGAUGCCAACUGUGCCAGUUAGUGGAUCACACUUUGACAUACUAUAGAAUAUCAUAUAGUAUCAUUGACUAAUGUAGGUUAUACGUAACACCACAGUGGGAGCCUGAGAGUGCCUUAACAGGAGCAAGUGCUGUUUUGUAGUUUGAUAAUGUGCAGGUUUUUGAAGUAGCAUCACAAAAUAGUCAAACUCUAUCUGUUACAAAGAUGCAGGUGAGAGACACAGGGGAAUAAAUCAUACACAACAGAAACAACUGUCUAUGCCGUGAAAAAGGCAAGAAGGGACUGGCAUUGUGUUGCAGCUGGUUAAGCUGCCACCUGCAACACUGGUAUCCAAUAUUGGUGUGCCAGUUCAAGCCUUGACUGCUCCACUUCCCAUCCACUGCACCUGGGAAAGCAGUGGAGGAUGGGCCAAGUACCUGGGUCCCUGCCACCCAAGUGGGAAAACUGGAUGGAGUUCUGGACACCUGGCUUCAUUGCAGCCAUUUAGGGAGUGAACCAGCAGAUGCAAGAUUUCUCUCUGUCUCUCCUUCUCUGUUACUUUGCCUUUAAAGCAAAUAAAAUAAAUCUUUUUUAUUUUUUUUAAGCAAGACAGGGAAUUUAGGAAAAGUCAGGAAAUAAUGUAGGAGCUUGAUGAAUGAGUUGAAGUUAGCACUAUUAGAUCUGUGAUAAAUGGAAACAGACCAUAUCUCCGAUGGUUGCAUGAAAGGGAAGGCAGAGAUGAAAAUAGCAAAGGAAUAUGGAUCUCAGACUUCUGGAUGAUUGAUCAAAAGUGACCAUAGUUCUAAAGAUCACUUAAAUAUAGAAACAGUUCUUUAUCCAAUUCCCACAGGUAAAAAGUUUAGGAUUGUGUGGCUUGAAUGCAAUAGUUGGACUCUCUCUUUGGUUUGCUAGAAUUUCCUAACAGCCUAGAGACCUUCAGAGAAGACAGACAACAUUAAAUUGUAAGCAUAAGUCCAGAAAAAUGAAGGGGGACUGGGGAAAAGCGGGUUAAUGUUGAUCAAGGCCAACCUUUUCUCCCUUGAAACAUUUGCCUAGUCCUACUUUGGUACAGAAGUCUGUCUGAAAAUAUGAGUAAAAUGGACACAACUCCAUUCUUCACCAUUCUUUGGGAGCAAACUCAAAGGGAUACACUAAGUCACCCCCAGAAAGUGGUUCCUAACUUCCUAAAGCUUAAAUAAUAAAGAAUCGAGGGAAAGUUGUGAGCUGACAUUAAGACUUUUUUCUUCCACAGAGACAAAACGUGUUCUUAAAAUGGUUCUUAAGACCCGCAACAGGGCCUGGUGUUGUGGUGUAGCAGGUUAAGCCACCACCUGCAGCACAUCCCAUAUGGGCAAUGGUUCAUGUCCCAGCUGCUCUACUUCUAGUCGAGCUUCCUGUUAAUAUGCCUGGGAAAGCAGAGGAAGAUGGCCUAAUUGCUAGGGUCACUGCACUCACAUGGAGACCAGAAAGAAACUCCUGGCUUUGGUCUGGCCCAGCCCCAGCCAUUAUGGCCAUUUGGGGAGUGAGCCAGCAGAUGGAUGACCUCUCUUACUGUCUGUCCCUCUCUCUCACUCGUUAACUCUGCUUUUCAAAUAAAUAAAAUAAUUCUUUUAUUUUUUCAAAAAGACCCACAACAGCCAAGACACUUGGUAAAGGUCUUCAACAUUGCAAAAUUUAAUAGAGACUUGUACAAUCAUAUUAAUAAUCUUCUAAUAAAAAUCAUAAACCAAAUACUUCUCCCACUUUGCAGAUGAGUCUUGCUAAAAUUUCCAGAAAAUCUUUUGAAAGCAUUUUAUAGUUAGUGAAAAUGUCUUGAAUAAAAACCAUUGUGAAUUUAAUAACCAUAAGAUAAAAACAUCAAAAUCUAUGCUUCUAAACCAGAAAAGUCUCUUCUGAUUGCAACUGUUCUACUGAUUCUUAUUAUUUGAGAGAAAGAGGCAGAGCUAGAUGAUCAAAGUCUUCCCAUCUGUUUGUUCAUUUGUUAAUUCCUUAAAUGCAGGAUUCAUCCCUGGGUUACAAGAAUAGUUCCUCUCACACAGAUCAAUAAAUGUUAUUCACUACAUUUAUAGCAUGAAGUAUAAAUCACUUGAUCAUCUGAAUAAACCCAGAAAAAACACAUGAUAAAAUUCAAACUUUUCAUGAUAAAAAUCUUCAACAAACUAUGUGUAGAAGGAAUUUACCUCAACAUAAUGAAGGCCAUAUGUAAAAAGCUCAUAGCUAAUAUCAUACUCAAUGGUUGAAAUCAAAUCUUUUUUUAAAGAUAAUGAACAAGCUAAGGAUAUCCACUCUUGCAACAUCCAUUCAAUGUAAUGAUAGAAGUCUUAGCCACAGCAAGUAAACAAGAAAAAAAAAUCCAAAGAGGAAAGCAAGGGCUAUAAAUAUUCUGUUAGCAAAAGAUUGAACCUUCUUGUAGAAAUCUCUCAAGACUACACACAAGUAGAAAUUAAAAAUGAAUUCAACAAAGUUUCUUGAUACAAACCAACACACAGAAAUCAGUUGCAUUUGUUUUUUAAAAAUGUUUUUUCUACUUACUUAUCUGAAAGAGUUACAGAGAAAGAUGGAAAGACAGAGACAGAGAGAGAAAGAGAAAGAGACCUCCCAACUGCUUAUUCACUUCCCAAAUGGCCUCAAUGGCUGGGGCUGGGUCAGGCUGAAGGCAAGAGCCUGGAACUCCAUCUGUGUCUCCUAUGUAGGUUGCAGGGACCCAAAUACUUGGAACACCUGCUGUUGCUUUCCCAGGCAAAGUGGAACAGCUGGGAUUUGAACCGGAGUUCAUAAAGGAUGGCUACAUUGCAGGUGAUGGCUUAGCCCACUGCACCACAUUGCAGACCCCACUCAACUCACCCACAUGGGAAAUCUGCAUUGCCCCUGGCUCUGGCACAGACCCAACCCUAAUCAUUUUGGAAAUUUGGGGAGUGAAGUAGUGAACUAGAACUCUUUGCCUAGCUACUUCUCCGUGUCUCUCUUUCUCUGUGUCUGUCUCUCACUCUCCAUCUAUCUCUGUCACUGUGUCUUUCAAAUAAAUAAAUACAGCUCUUAAAAAAGAUAUUACACAAGAAGAAAUCUGUAGGUUGUAUAAAAAUUUACAUCAUUUGGGGACAGCGUUGUGACGUAGAGGAUUAAGCCUCUGCCUGCAGCACAGGCAUCUCAUAUGGGCACCAAUUCAAGUCCCAGCUGCUCCACUUGCAAUCCAGUUCCCUGCUAAUGUGCCUGGGAAAGCAGUGGAGGAUGGCCCAAGUCUUUGGGCCCCUUCACCAUGUGGGAGACUGGAAGAAGCCCCAGGUUCCUAGCUUCAGCUGUCAUAGCCAUUUGGGGAGUGAACCAAUGGAUCAAAGAUAUUUCUCUCUCUCUCCCCUUCUCUUUCUGUAUAACUUUCAAAUAAAUAAAUGAGUCUUUAAAAAAAUAAAAAUAAAUUAAGUCAUUUUAUAAGAGGCUUGACUGAGUAUCUCUAGAUUUUAUUAUCCGGAGUGGCUCCUGGGCCCAAUUCCCCCACAGCAACCAAAAGACAAUGCAGUUAAUUAUUACAUCAUCCCAGAAAAGAAAGGAAAAUAAGUGUGAAGUUUCUGCUAUAUUUAUAAUUAUCAGCAUAACAACUCUUAUUAGCACUCUGGGUUUUCUGUUGCAGAUUAAGGAUGCUGCAUGUGUUAACUGGUUCUCAGCCUGAAGGACUUUGUUAUUUCUUGGAAAGAAGGAACUCCAGCAUCCUAUACUCUCAGUGUUUAUUUGUCUAGCAAUGUCUUUUAUUUUUCCUUCAUUUUUAAAAGGGUGGUUUUUCUGGAUAUAAGGUCUUUUACUUCAUUUUCACUUCUACCACUAGAUGACGAAUUUCCAGUGCCUCUUCCUGCCAGCAUUUCUGGUGGGAAGUUAACUGUUCAUGGUAUUGAACCUCUUGUAUAUAACAAGCUGUUUUCCUCUGGCUGCUUCACAAUCUGCCCUUGUCACUCAACGCUGGACUUUAAAACAACUGGUUCUCAGUGUUGCUCUGUUUCUAUUACUGUUGGUUGAGUGUCUUCAAUAUGAAAAUCAACCUUUUUAUUCAUAAUUAGGGAUAUUUCUCUGUACUUUUCCUCCUUAAUUCUCUCUCUGAUACACUCAUUACAUGCAUUUUUAUGUGUUUAGUAGCAUUCCCAAUCCUCUAAGCUUUUAUUCUCUUUUCCCAUUAUUGAUCUUCAGGUUGCCUAAUUUCUACUGGUCUAUAUUCAGCUCUGACACUUUCUUCUCCUAGUUGUUGCUGUUGUCUUCUUUAUCUUUUUUUAAAUUUCUAUUCCAGAAUUUCCAUUUCCUCUUUUUAGUAAUAUUUUUAGCUUUAUUGAUAUGUACUACUUGAUUAUACCUUCCUUUAUCUUGUUAGACAUAGUGUCUCCUAGCCUUUGAAUAUGUUUCUAAUAAGUGCUUAAUUUUUUUUAAGAUUGAUUUAUUUAUUUGAAAGAGUUACACAGGGAGAUGAAAGGCAGAGAGAAAGAGAGAGAGAGGUCUUCCAUCCGAUGAUUCAUUCCUCAGAUGGCCACAGUGGCCAGAGCUGUGCUGAUCCAAAGCCAGGAGCCAGGAGCUUCUUUCGGGUCUCCCACAUGGAUGCAGGGGCCCAAGGACCUGGGCCAUCUUCUACUGCUUUCCCAAGCCAUAGCAGAGAGCUGGAUCAGAAGUGGAGUAGCCAGGUCUAGAAACAGCACCCAUAUGGCAUGCAGCAUUUCAGGCCAGGGCGUUAACCCACAGCACCACAGUGCCGGCCCCUUUAAUAAGUGCUUUCAAGCUCACCAUCCUAUCACCAAGAUCCCUUUUAAGGCAAUUUUUAUUCCUUCCCACAUUUUCCUGUGUGCAGUUCCCAUUUUAUGGCAGUUUUACUUUUAUUAGAAGCUGAAUAUUUUAAAUACCUUUCAGCAAAUCUGGACACUGAUAAACCUCAGGGAGUUGUUUCUGCCCUUUGCUGAUUCGUUUAAUGACUUGAUUGAAUUAUUUAUAUUUUAAUUUAAUUUAAUUUAAUUUUUUUAAACUUUUAUUUAAUGAAUAUAAAUUUCCAAAGUACGGCUUAUGGAUUACAAUGGCUUCCCCCCCAUAUCGUCUCUCCCACCCGCAUCCCUCCCCUUUCCCACUCCCUCUCCCCUUCCAUUCACAUCAAGAUUCAUUUUUGAUUCUCUUUAUAUACAGAAGAUCAGUUUAGCAUACAUUAAGUAAAGAUUUCAACAGUUUGCUCCCACACAAACAUAAAGUGAUAAAUAAUAGAUGAUUUUUUAAAUGAUGAUGAAAUCAGAUCAGACCUAUUGUCAUGUUUAAUCCCAGUGAGAGUCAAGUUGGGAAUUGAUAAUUUCUUUUUUUUUUUUUUUACAGAAGAUCAGUUUAGUGUACAUUAAGUAAAGAUUUCAACAGU